rnacentral:rRNA from 1 species
AAUUUUGGACAAUGGGGGAAACCCUGAUGCAGCAACGCCGCGUGAGCGAUUAAUGCCUUCGGUUCGUAAAGCUCUGUCCUAAGGGAAGAAAUUUGACGGUACCUUGGGAGGAAGCCUCGGCUAACUACGUGCCAGCAGCCGCGGUAAUACGUAGGGGGCAAGCGUUAUCCGGAAUCACUGGGCGUAAAGGGUGCGUAGGCGGUCUUGCAAGUCAGAGGUGAAAGGCUACGGCUCAACCGUAGUAAGCCUUUGAAACUGUAGGACUUGAGUGCAGGAGAGGAAAGUGGAAUUCCUAGUGUAGCGGUGAAAUGCGUAGAUAUUAGGAGGAACACCAGUGGCGAAGGCGACUUUCUGGACUGUAACUGACGCUGAGGCACGAAAGUGUGGGUAGCGAACA